rnacentral:lncRNA from 1 species
CAACCAGGUGAGGGGAGUUCCUUACUGAGACCUAGACAACCAGGUGAGGGGAGUUCCUUACUGAGACCUAGACAACCAGGUGAGGAGAGUUCCUUACUGAGACCUAGACAACCAGGUGAGGGGGGUUCCUUACUGAGACCUAGACAACCAGGUGAGGGGAGGUCCUUACUGAGACCUAGACAACCAGGUGAGGGGUGUUCCUUACUGAGACCUAGACAACCAGGUGAGGGGUGGUCCUUACUGAGACCUAGACAACCAGGUGAGGGGAGUUCCUUACUGAGACCUAGACAACCAGGUGAGGAGAGACCUAGACAACCAGGUGAGGGGAGUUCCUUACUGACACCUAGAUAACCAGGUGAGGAGAGUUCCUUACUGAGACCUAGACAACCAGGUGACCGGAGUUCCUUACUGAGACCUAGAGAACCAGGUGAGGGGAGACCUAGACAACCAGGUGAGGGGAGUUCCUUACUGAGACCUGGACAACCAGGUGAGGGGAGUUCCUUACUGAGACCUAGACAACCAGGUGAGGGGAGUUCCUUACUGAGACCUGGACAACCAGGUGAGGGGAGGUCCUUACUGAGACCUAGACAACCAGGUGAGGAGAGUUCCUUACUGAGACCUAGACAACCAGGUGAGGAGAGUUCCUUACUGAGACCUAGACAACCAGGUGAGGAGAGUUCCUUACUGAGACCUAGACAACCAGGUGAGGGGAGACCUAGACAACCAGGUGAGGAGAGUUCCUUACUGAGACCUAGACGACCAGGUGAGGAGAGUUCCAUACUGAGACCUAGACGACCAGGUGAGGAGAGACCUAGACAACCAGGUGAGGAGAGGUCCUUACUGAGACCUAGACAACCAGGUGAGGAGAGUUCCUUACUGAGACCUAGACAACCAGGUGAGGAGAGUUCCUUACUGAGACCUAGACAACCAGGUGAGGAGAGUUCCUUACUGAGACCUAGACAACCAGGUGAGGAGAGUUCCUUACUGAGACCUAGACAACCAGGUGAGGGGAGUUCCUUACUGAGACCUAGACAACCAGGUGAGGAGAGUUCCUUACUGAGACCUAGACAACCAGGUGAGGAGAGGUCCUUACUGAGACCUAGACAACCAGGUGAGGGGAGUUCCUUACUGAGACCUGGACGACCAGGUGAGGGGAGUUCCUUACUGAGACCUAGACAACCAGGUGAGGGGAGUUCCUUACUGAGACCUAGACAACCAGGUGAGGAGAGACCUAGACAACCAGGUGAGGGGAGACCUUUUACACGUGUCAAGUAGUAUCUGGUCCUAUCAUCAUCAUCAUCAUCAUCAUCAUCUCAUAAACAGUAGCCCUGAUCUGAGCAGGUUUAUUUAUACCACAUUUUUUCAGAUCAAGGGAUAGUUCAAUCAAAUUACAAAAAACGUACACCUUAGUUUCCUCACCCUGUAUAAAAUCCCCCAAAAUGUUCAGCAGUGAAGUUCUCAAGAUGGACUUUCAGUACAGCGGUGUUCCCCAAUCCUGGUCCCAAGGGAUGCACACUGUUGUUUUUUUGCCUCAGCACUCACAUACCUUAUUCAAUUCAAAGGUCCUUUUGAUCCCCUGGACCAGGAAACACUGCAGUAUAGAGCCAAUGAGAGGGAUGAUGCUAAUGAUAUGAUAAUAAUUAUAAUAAUGUUUCUCAUUUGUGUCAUCAUCACUGUUUGCUCUGUACUGAAAGUGCUCCAUCUUGAAAACUUGAUUUGCUAACAUGCACGAUUGUUGGGAUUAUAUUAACAAUGGACUAAAUAAACAAAAUACUACAAUAAAUAUUUUGAUAAACAUCCCAUUCAUAGCAGCUACCACUCCAUUCAGGAAAGCUGUGUCGAGUAACUUUUGCUCCAUCGCCUCCACAUCCUGCACAGUAUUCACAGGGAAACAGCACCCGUCGUAUUCACAGGGAAACAGCACCCGUCGUAUUCACAGGGAAACAGCACCCGUCGUAUUCACAGGGAAACAGCACCCGUCGUAUUCACAGGGAAACAGCACCCGUCGUAUUCACAGGGAAACAGCGCCCGUCGUAUUCACAGGGAAACAGCACCCGUCGUAUUCACAGGGAAACAGCACCCGUCGUAUUCACAGGGAAACAGCACCCGUCGUAUUCACAGGGAAACAGCACCCGUCGUAUUCACAGGGAGACAGCACCCGUCGUAUUCACAGGGAGACAGCACCCGUCGUAUUCACAGGGAGACAGCACCCGUCGUAUUCACAGGGAAACAGCACCCGUCGUAUUCACAGGGAGACAGCACCCGUCGUAUUCACAGGGAAACAGCGCCCGUCGUAUUCACAGGGAAACAGCACCCGUCGUAUUCACAGGGAGACAGCGCCGUCGGGUUGUGCUGCUGUCACGGUGGUACCACUGUGAGGUCCUGACUCCUCUUCCUCCAUGUCUGAGUCAGUCUGAGAUCAGAAGUCUCUUCUGCCUUUUUA